rnacentral:rRNA from 1 species
AUUGAACGCUGGCGGCAGGCCUAACACAUGCAAGUCGAGCGGAUGAAGGGAGCUUGCUCCUGGAUUCAGCGGCGGACGGGUGAGUAAUGCCUAGGAAUCUGCCUGGUAGUGGGGGAUAACGUCCGGAAACGGGCGCUAAUACCGCAUACGUCCUGAGGGAGAAAGUGGGGGAUCUUCGGACCUCACGCUAUCAGAUGAGCCUAGGUCGGAUUAGCUAGUUGGUGGGGUAAAGGCCUACCAAGGCGACGAUCCGUAACUGGUCUGAGAGGAUGAUCAGUCACACUGGAACUAAGACACGGUCCAGACUCCUACGGGAGGCAGCAGUGGGGAAUAUUGGACAAUGGGCGAAAGCCUGAUCCAGCAAAGCCGCGUGUGUGAAGAAGGUCUUCGGAUUGUAAAGCACUUUAAGUUGGGAGGAAGGGCAGUAAGUUAAUACCUUGCUGUUUUGACGUUACCAACAGAAUAAGCACCGGCUAACUUCGUG